UGUGUAGGCGGCCGAAUAAGUCAGGGGUGAAAGUCAACAGCUUAACUGUUGAAGUGCCUUUGAUACUGUUUGGCUGGAGUGCUGGAGAGGAUAGUGGAAUUCCCAGUGUAGCGGUGAAAUGCGUAGAUAUUGGGAAGAACACCGGUGGCGAAGGCGGCUAUCUGGCCAGUUACUGACGCUGAGACACGAAAGCCAGGGGAGCAAACGGGAUUAGAUACCCCGGUAGUCCUGGCUGUAAACGAUGGACACUCGAUGUGGGAGGUAUUGACCCCUUCCAUGUCAAAGCUAACGCAUUAAGUGUCCCGCCUGGGGAGUACGGCCGCAAGGUUGAA
rnacentral:rRNA from 1 species